GGCUCUGUGGUGCAAAGGAUAGCGCAUUGGACUUCUUGGCUGUGAGCUGAGCCAUUCAAAGGUUGUGGGUUUGAGUCCCACCAGAGUUG
rfam:Danio rerio chromosome 4, GRCz11 reference primary assembly.